GACGAACGCUGGCGGCGUGCUUAACACAUGCAAGUCGAACGGAAAGACCCUGCUUUUGUGGGGUGCUCGAGUGGCGAACGGGUGAGUAACACGUGAGUAACCUGCCCUUGACUUUGGGAUAACUUCAGGAAACUGGGGCUAAUACCGGAUAGGAGCUCCUGCUGCAUGGUGGGGGUUGGAAAGUUUCGGCGGUUGGGGAUGGACUCGCGGCUUAUCAGCUUGUUGGUGGGGUAGUGGCUUACCAAGGCUUUGACGGGUAGCCGGCCUGAGAGGGUGACCGGCCACAGUGGGACUGUGAUACGGCCCAGACGCCGACGGGAGGCAGCAGUGGGGAAUAGUGCACGAUGGGCGGAAGCCUGAUGCAGCAGCGCCGCGUGCGGGAUGACGGCCUUCGGGUUGUAGACCGCUUUCGCCUGUGACGAAGCGUGAGUGACGGUAAUGGGUAAAGAAGCACCGGCUACCUACGUG
rnacentral:rRNA from 1 species